CUCCUACGGGAGGCAGCAGUGGGGAAUAUUGCACAAUGGGCGCAAGCCUGAUGCAGCGACGCCGCGUGAGGGAUGACGGCCUUCGGGUUGUAAACCUCUUUCAGUACAGACGAAGCGUAAGUGACGGUAUGUACAGAAGAAGCACCGGCCAACUACGUGCCAGCAGCCGCGGUAAUACGUAGGGUGCGAGCGUUGUCCGGAAUUACUGGGCGUAAAGAGCUCGUAGGUGGUUUGUCGCGUUGUUCGUGAAAACCGGAGGCUCAACCUCUGGCGUGCGGGCGAUACGGGCAGACUUGAGUACUGCAGGGGAGACUGGAAUUCCUGGUGUAGCGGUGGAAUGCGCAGAUAUCAGGAGGAACACCGGUGGCGAAGGCGGGUCUCUGGGCAGUAACUGACGCUGAGGAGCGAAAGCGUGGGGAGCGAACAGGAUUAGAUACCCUGGUAGUCCACGCCGUAAACGGUGGGUACUAGGUGUGGGUUUCCUUCCUUGGGAUCCGUGCCGUAGCUAACGCAUUAAGUACCCCGCCUGGGGAGUACGGCCGCAAGGCUAAAACUCAAAGAAAUUGACGGGGGCCCGCACAAGCGGCGGAGCAUGUGGAUUAAUUCGAUGCAACGCGAAGAACCUUACCU
rnacentral:rRNA from 1 species